ensembl:lncRNA
GUGUGUUUUAAUGGCAAAAAUGUGCGUUUUAAUUCAAAGCGACCUUUGUUGUGUUGUGUUCUUCAAUCAUGCCAAAAACGCAUCACACGGCUGUAAGUUCUACCCUCGGAUGGGCUACCUGGAGCCACAGAGCCGUGCUUGUGAGGCUCGGAGGAGGAGGAAUAAUUUGAGGAGAACGAAAGAGAAAAAAUAAUAAAAAAAAGGAAACACAAAAAGCAUCAAAAUUCCUGUGGCACCAGGAGCCACUAAAAGAACAGGAAGCUCCAGGAGCAGUUCAUCGUUGAAACUGGAGCAAAUGUUUUUUGUUUUCGUUUGGUUGCUUGUUAGUUUGGUUAUUAAUUUUGGUUGAUUCGCUUUUUUUGUGGUUAUCUGCUUCCUCAGGAAUGACACCCAGGAAAAUCCCCUCCCCUUGAACAGUAAAGUCACUCUUUAUGGUUGGAUGGAUCUGGUCGACUCCACGCCAGAGUGGAACCACAUGUCAGUCACUGAAGCGGGCAGGAGGAAAUGAAACAGGUAGCAACACCAUGAACUGGGAGACAACGUAUGCGAGUGUUUGUGUCCAUCCCGUUCAGAAGUGCAGAAAAUGUCCGAGUAGAUGCAGAGCCAGAGAGAGAAAAAGGAGAUAAAUUCCUCUCCGUGUCACGUAUGUCCACUGGUUGCAGAGUCCACUCCCGUCGGCAUAUAGUGUUAGUUAAAUAAUGACUUGAUAUCGGGGCGCGUCGGCCCUGCCUUUGGCUCCCAUGCCCAGUUUUGGUGUGUCAACAACAGCCUUCUCAGACAUCUCAAUGACAUCUCUCAAGUUUCCCAGAGUUCGUUUCUCUUUAUUUCCUUCUUUGUCAUUUCAAAGAAAAGUGUUGAUGUCUUCUUUAAAUAUAUCUAUAUCUGUAUACAUGUUUAUUUUCACAGUGGGCAAAAGGAUGACCUCUACAGCAAAACCUGUCGCUUUCGUUCUCUCUUUGCAAAAUGUCCAAAAAAAAAAUUAAAAUAAAAUCAAGUAUCCCAAUGAGAGUUGAUGUAUCUCAGCCACAUGUUGGAUUAACCACAAUAAAUAUACACUCAUCAGGGGCACCAACUAAAGUUUUUCGUGUUUUUUCAACUGCAUGAAGCUUUGGCCACAUUCAUAUAAUUAACGAAAAUAAUAACUGCUCAGUGCUUCGAUAUCCUCUUUCGCCACGUUACAAGAUUAUUGUGUUGAACAUCAGACUUGUCAAACCCUUUACUGAAGAUUCAGCUUUGCCAUUCAGUAUGUUUUGGUGCGAAAUGAAAGUAGAAAAUAGAAUACAAAGUAUAAAAACUCAGACUGAUGCUGGCUCUUAUGAAACACACACACACACGCACACACACAUGCUCGCGCUCCCACAUACAAAGUCCAUGCUGGCUGAAACAGUUGUGAGGGAUUCUGCCCCACACGAGAGCCUAUAAAAAACGAGAACACUUUGGAAGCAAGAGAUACACAACUGUGUCAAGACAAACAAAUAUAGGAACAUUGUAACACCAUAAAGUGGCCAGAGAAUGAUAGAAAACAAAUAGAUGUGAUUUCAAUUUAAAGCUGGCAUUGUAACAUUAAUUUAUAAAUGGACACCGAUAAAAAUGAAGGAAAAUAAAAUAUACAGUUAUAUGAAAAUAACCAAAAAGAUAUUAUCUGAGACCAAAACAAUGCAAAGCAUUCAAAAAUAAACUAUACAAUAUCAGACUUCUCAAAAAUAAUUAUGAACAAUAUUAUAGAUAUCAUGGAUUGAGAGGAGUGGAUCAGCUUGCAGAUCAAAGAAACCCAAUUUCAAUGGCAUGCACACCAAAUAACACCAAAUCAAAUUGUUCUGCAAGACAUAAUGCUUGUUUACACACCUGGACAAGUGUGCAGAUACAUUACUAAAGCCAAAUACGUUUGCGCCCCUCUAAAGCAUCUUUUACACAUUUCAAAAAUGACUUGAUUUGGAAAAGAAAUUAACAAUUCCAUUUAUGAUUGGAUGGGGGCCAUCUCGCUAAAACACAACCAUUUCCAUUGCAAUGACUUGGAGUGAGGGAUCUCUUUGGACACUUCUACCUUGUCGUCACGCAAAACAAGGGGCACCUAAAACAAAUUCUGCUUUUCCCACUCUUAUAAUGCUUUGGAAUGAAAAUGUCCCUUACAGACCCGCAACAGACAUUUCCUGCAUGAAAAUGGCUUUACACCCUGCAGACAACGAAUUCCCUACUUGCUUUUCCAGGAGGGGAAGUCGGCUUUGCCGAACAGCCUUUCAUUCUGAGACUAGUUCUAAAUCAAGAAGCAUGAUGACACCAGAUCAGGGAGAUGCGCAAGUACCAGACAGGUUGUAUUAUGAACAUUUUUGGUAACCACUAUGACUUGGUGAUCUAGUUCAGGCGAGUAAAGUCAUUUAAUGGCUGCAGGGAUUCUGUUCACUCUCAACACAUCAUAAUCGGGGUGAGGUGAUAUUCAGCAAUCCAUGAUGGCAGAGUUACACAACAGUUUACAGUCACCUUAGAAAUGGGAUAAAACAGACUUAUAGACUCAAUUUGAAUAAAAAGAAGCAGUCCUUGCUUAAGAAAUUAAAACUCAGGUGUAGUAUUUGGAAUGCACUGUUAUUUUUUACAAAGAUCAUUGGCUUUUAACAUUGGUCUGUUCAAAAAUGAAAAAAAG